CACCUUCCACCACCACACAACACCCAGCCGCACGUGCCCCAAUAAUGAGAUUCCCUUGUAGUUAUGACAGAAAUCGUUAUUCUGUUUUGGUAAUGGUGGAGAGGGAGGAAGGGAGACCCGAGCCCCAGACCAAGGCCGAGUAGUGCCUGGCGGGGCGUGUUGACGUGUGUGUGUGUGUGUGUGUGUGUUGGUGAGCAGCGUUCAUUGCAAGGUGUGUUCCUCCAUAUUUACCGCAUAAAAUGAAGACAAAGAUUCUUGUGUUGCCCUGUAAUGUGUUGUUCUAUGGCUGUGUUGUUGUCAGUGCUAAGAGGCUGGGGGAGGGAGAGGCUUAGUGAGGCAGACUAUGGUGAUGCCAAGGUUAUUUACUUUGUUGAAUCUCGUCGACUACGGACACAGCUGAGGUGGACCUCCGCUGCUUCCCACUGGCUCCUCUCCUCUUGCUGAAGGCAUUACCUGGGGGGCAUGCUGCUUGACCUCCCUUGCAGGGUCGCCUUGCUGCCCUGGAACCUCCCGGCACACUUCUCACACUUCCCAGAACAGCAUCUCAUCACUGCCUUUCAAGAGGUUGUUGAGUCACUCUUCACGUCCUCCCUGAAGGAAGCCGGCGGCCUGAAGCACCGCGGGCAGGUCACCACCACCAGCCUGCAGGCCAGGGACCACAAACACCUCUGGAUGGGACUCUGGAAUGGCAGGCUUCACUAAGACCAACCGCACGUGCAAGACAUGCCAGGCUCUGAUGUCCAGUGUGGAGGAGAUCGGAAUUCCUAUCAUGAGGGAGACACACACCGCACCACACCCUCACCGGACGCCAGCAAGCUAUUGCCAUCCUGUAGUCGCCACACCUCCAGGGAGCCACCAUCAAGCAGGACGACCACUCCGGAGCCAUCAUCAUCACCCGCAUCAUGCAUGGCUGACUGCUCCGGCCUCAUCCAUGCUGCCGACGAGGUGCAGGGGUCAACACCUUCAAUGUGGAGGGCAAGACACUGGCGGAUGUCCACACGAUGCUGGUGCCGGCGGAGGGCACCAUGACCUUCAGGCUGCUCCCGGCCAGCAGCUCGGUGCACCUCAGGGAGAGCAAGGUGAGGGUGCACGCCUACUUCCACUAUGACCCCAAGGAGGACAACAAGCACAUUCCCUGCAAGGAAGCCGGGCUGCCCUUCAACAAGCUGGACAUCCUGCACAUUGUGACCCAGGAUGACCCCUACUGGUAAGCCCUGGUGACCUCAUAAUGAAGCUUUGUGGCUCUCAAGCGAUCCAGUGUCCCGCUUGACCUGCCCCACUCAUGGGGAGCUAUGCGGCUCAGGCCAACUGAGUGCUGGUGUGUGACAUUGCCCCUGCAGCAGCCCUGCUAGACCAGAGGACUUGACCGCUGCAGUGGUGCAUUCCGUCCACUGGUGAGUCACACAGCUCCCCGUGGGUGUGGGGGUGAAACACACUGACACUGGAUCAGCUGGGCGCACCAAACACAGCGUUCCACACAGCAGCCCCAUCACAGUGUUCCCUCAGCAGCUCUUAUAGGCGACCCUUUACUGAAAACAACAAUCAC